rnacentral:lncRNA from 1 species
UUUCUUUGUGAAAUAGGAACCAAGUUCACCAUGGAGAGAGUGAGUGGGUUGGGGAAAAGGUGUUGUAUGUUUGAGGAGCGAGGAGAAGGUGUCAAAUAAUCAUCCAGGCAGACUUUUGUAGUGCACAGUGACCGGUGACCAGCAGCAUGUGUUUCCAUAGGCAUCUUCUCUCAGUACCCCAGAAGGUGAAUUGCCAGUGAGUCCUGCCAGGAUGCCCCUCGGUGACUGCACCACCCAGUAAGUCAUGGCUGUGUACUUCCCAUCAAGGUCUGGAUCUCAGCUCAGGUAGUGGGGGCUGCUCUUCCAUAGUCAUUCCAUCCUUGUGUGCUCUGCCUCAGCCCUGGGGAUAGUGGCCGCUUUCUGUACAUGUCAGUCCUCUAUUCUUUAGACUUCUUGUUACCCCAUUAGCAGCCAAUUCUCUUUUGUUACUGCUUAGCAGCCAACUUUUUUUAUAUUAAACUUUCCCCAACCAAAUUAUAGUGUGGUUUCUGUGUCUUAAUUGGACCCCGGGUGAUACAGUUUGCGUUUUGAAAGUGAAGAAUUG